AUUGAACGCUGGCGGCAGGCCUAACACAUGCAAGUCGAGCGGAUGAAAGGAGCUUGCUCCUGGAUUCAGCGGCGGACGGGUGAGUAAUGCCUAGGAAUCUGCCUGGUAGUGGGGGAUAACGUCCGGAAACGGGCGCUAAUACCGCAUACGUCCUGAGGGAGAAAGUGGGGGAUCUUCGGACCUCACGCUAUCAGAUGAGCCUAGGUCGGAUUAGCUAGUUGGUGGGGUAAAGGCCUACCAAGGCGACGAUUCGUAACUGGUCUGAGAGGAUGAUCAGUCACACUGGAACUGAGACACGGUCCAGACUCCUACGGGAGGCAGCAGUGGGGAAUAUUGGACAAUGGGCGAAAGCCUGAUCCAGCCAUGCCGCGUGUGUGAAGAAGGUCUUCGGAUUGUAAAGCACUUUAAGUUGGGAGGAAGGGCAGUAAGUUAAUACCUUGCUGUUUUGACGUUACCAACAGAAUAAGCACCGGCUAACUUCGUG
rnacentral:rRNA from 1 species